rnacentral:sRNA from 1 species
CAUGGUGGUAAGUAAAGUAUCUGGGCAUCUAAACUAACCGAUCUGGGCUUAUUGAAUGUGGCAACAAGAUAAAAAUCAACUAGAUCUGGAUAACAACAGUGAAGGUGAAUCAGAAUCGGAAACAUAUUGUCAAAUUGAAUUUCACAUUGCAAAAGAAAACUUGACUGUAAUCCACAAGGCUGACUGUGGAGUGCAAAUACAAAUAGUGUGUCUAAAAAAUGAUCUUCAGACAAUAUUUCACCUUCUUCCUUGUGAGCAAGAAUGGUAUCUGAGAGACAGAAUCAUGGAAGAUAACAGAACUCUAGAAGACUAUGGUAUUACUGGAACUUCAUCAAGUGGAAGAAACUCUGUGCAAAUAUAUAUUCGGGAUAAACGCAAACACUCUUAGCAGAAUUUACAGUAGAGCAAGAAAUACUUCAGGUGAAACAAGAAUUUAAUCAAAUUACUUAGGUCUUCACUGUGUAAGAAGCAAGAAUUGUGAACUUGAAUUGUUCAUAAAUGUGCUUAUUCAUUUUAUGAUUCAACUUGGAUUAUUAAAAUAUUUUAUUCUUUAAAAGUGGAUUUCUGUUGAUUCUUCACCACUAUACAAAUAUUCGUGGAGUUAUUUUUUAAAUAAAAAAAAAGUUUUAU